UACGGCCACAUUACAUUUAGACAUUGGUUCCCGUACGAUCACUGAAGUUAAACAACGUCGAGCCAGGUCAGUACCUAGAUGGGUGACAGUUUGGUAAUAACAGAUGCUGUAAG